AUUGAUGGAUUUUGCAAUCUUUCGUUUUUUUAUCUUCAAUUUUCUUGACGUAUAAAUAAUAUCAUUCAUAUGCCUCAAAGUCUUUCUCAGAAGAUUGAGGAUGGCACAUGCAUUGAUCAAGCAAAUUUUACAGCCAUUGUUAUGUAUAGGGCCCAAGAAGAAACGGUCAAACCUACCUCCAAAAUAAUGUAUAAACGCCGUCGCAAAUCAUCAGUAGCAAGCACUGGUCAAGAUGAUGAUACAAAUGAAUCAGACUCCCUGACACCUGAAAGUAUCCCUGUGCGCAAAAGACGGCGGGGAGAGUCGGUAGAUUAUCUUCAACAAAUUUAUGAUGUGGUGAGGAAUUUCAAGAAAGAAGAUGGCGGUUUGUUGUGCGAUUCAUUUAUCCGGGUUCCAAAAAGAAGGCAAGAGCCUGGUUAUCAUGAUGUUGUCACAAAUCCAAUUGACAUGCUGAAAAUUCAGCAAAAAAUAAGGACCGAUGAGUAUGAUACCAUUGAAGAAUUGUCAGCUGAUUUUGAAUUGCUGGUCAACAAUGCCAAAGUUUUUUACAAGAGGACCUCCCAGGAAUAUAAAGAUGCUUGUGAAGUGAUGGACUUAUUUGAAGCUACGAAGAAAAGAGUUCUUGAGGAAAAAGCUGCUGAUGAUGAUGCCGCUAGCACUGACUCCAAAGGAAAAAUCAUUCUUCGUGUUGGAAAAUUAGCCAGAAAAGCUAAAGAGGCAGCGGAGAAAAGAAACGAAAAAGACAUGUUGGACUCUGAAGAGAAUUCAGAAACCUCCACGAAUCCAGAGGAUGAGUUGAACUUUUGUGAGGACCUUUUCACUGCUGUAAUGACAGCCACUGAUGGCGACACGAAUCGCCCACUACAUUUAGUUUUUCAGCUCUUGCCGUCAAAGAAGCGCUACCCAAAAUAUUAUGAAGUCAUAGAUAACCCGAUUGAUCUCCGGAUGAUAGCACGAAAAAUUCAAGAAGGGAAGUAUUCCUCGCUAGGGGAAAUGGAAAAAGAUCUCUUGCUCAUGACCAAAAAUGCGUGUACAUUUAAUGAACCUGGCUCACAGAUUUACAAAGAUGCAAAAACUUUGAAAAAACUCAUUCAGAGUAAAAAGAUUGAAAUCGAGCAUGGGAAAGUCUCAACAGGAAAAACAAGUGAACGUAUCAGGAACAAACGCUUCAGAGGAAGUCAGUCGUUAUCUGCCGUUACUGCAGCUUUGCCUGACGAAGAUGAUUCGGAUGAUGAAGAUUUAGCAGAAGGUGGUGACACUCCUCAGUGGCAACUUUACAAGACUGUCAAAGAUACUAUGACACCCAAUGGUGCGUACCUGAGCGAACCUUUCUGGAAGUUGCCAUCAAAACGAUAUUAUCCCGACUAUUACAAAGAAAUAAAGAACCCCUUGUCUCUUGGUCAAAUUGGCAAAAAAUUGAAAAACGGCGACUAUGGCACUAUCAGUGAAGUUGCGGGCGAUAUGAACAUCAUGUUCGAGAAUGCCAAGAAGUACAAUCGUCCCGAUUCACAGCUGUAUAAACAUGCGGUCAAAUUGCAGAAAAUCAUGCAAUCCAAAGUUAAAGAGUUGUUGGAUUUUGACCAUCAAUACUCUGACUCAGACGAUGAUUCUGCUGAUGAACAAACAACACCCACUACUAAACGCUCGAAGGUCUCCAAGUCCCCAAGGUGUUUGACUAGGGGAAAAUACAUGAGUAAUAUCCCUUUGAAAAGAAGGCUGUACGCUUUGUGCAAGUGUCUUAUGGAUUACAAGUGUGAAGAUGGUCGUCAACCAAUGCUUAUGUUUAUGGAGCUGCCCUCAAAACGAAUCUAUCCAGAAUACUAUACUGUAAUCAGUCAUCCAAUUGAUAUGAUGACUAUUGAGCAAAAGAUUCGUGAAGAACAAUAUCGAAGUGAAGAAGAGAUACUCAAUGACUUCAAAUUGAUGUUUUCAAACUGUCGGAAAUUCAAUGAAGAAUCUUCCAUGAUUUACGAAGACGCUGUCACCCUUGAAAAAAUGGUUCUAGACAAAUCUAAGGAGCUAGGUCCACUUCAUACUAAAGAGAAAACGCCAAGGGUCACAAAACCACGCAAGCUGAGUAAUCCACCACCUCUAAUUCAACUUCAGAAAAUGCGGACAUUGUUUAACACUAUCAAAGAGUACAAAGAUCCCAGAAAUCGCCAACUGUCCGUAAUUUUCAAUAGACUACCCUCAAGAAAUGAUUAUCCUGACUAUUAUGAAGUCAUCAAGAAACCCAUGAAUUUGGAAAUCAUUUCACAGAAGUUACGAAGCAACACAUAUGAUGGAUUGGAUGAUUUAGUCGCUGACUUGACUUUGAUGUUUGAUAAUGCUUGCAAAUACAAUGAGCCAGAUUCUCAAAUCUACAAGGACGCUUUGAUGUUGCAAAGAGUGACCUUGCAGACAAAACUAGCUCUGCGUGAAGAUGAAGACACUGUCCCAGAUGUACGUGCUGCAGUUCAAGAGUUACUGACGUCACUCUUCACAGCAGUUUAUAAUCAUCAAGAUGAAGAGGGCAGAUGUUUUUCAGACUCGUUUGCAGAAUUGCCAGAACACGAUGAAGUUGAUGGAAAAAAAGUCAGAGCUUUAUCAUUAGAUCUGAUAAAGCGCCGGCUGGAUGGUGGAAAUUAUAGACGUUUGGACAUGUUCCAGGAAGAUUUGUUUUCUUGUUUCGAAAGAGCGCGCAAACUCUCCCGAACUGACUCUCAGGUUUUUGAAGAUUCUGUUGAAUUGCAAUCUUUCUUCAUACGGCAACGCGAUGAGCUGUGUCGAAAUGGUGACUUGCUACACUCUCCGGCAUUGAACUAUUCUCUUUUGGAUUUAUCAACAGCAGUUGAUAUAGUGCGCCAAGAAAAAUUGAUCGAAGAACAGCCAGAAGAGGAGUCAAAACCUCACGAUGACUCUGCCUCAAGGGAGGAGCAAGAUGGCCAAGAUGGUCCUGGAGGUGAAGAUGGUCAAGACACCACAAGUGGGACUGCUGGAAUGGCCGACAAUGCGAUGAGUUUUAAUCAGCAGGUUUAUCGCAUUGGUGAUUUUGUCUAUGCAGAGCCAAAAGAAAGGGGUAUGGAGCAUAUCAUCUUGAACAUCCAGCGGUUGUGGACGAAUCAGGAAGGCCAACAGAUGAUGUUUGGCUGUCAGUAUUUCCGUCCAAAUGAGACGUAUCACGUUGCAACUCGCAAGUUCCUAGAGAAAGAAGUCUUUCGCUCCGACCAAAGCAUUGCCAUCCCGCUGUACCAAAUUCGUGGGCGGUGCGCUGUACUGAAUAUCAAAGAUUAUUUGAAAUUCAAACCUGAUGGUUUUGAGGAAAAAGAUGUCUAUGUUUGCGAGUCACGCUAUUCAACAAGAGCCAGAGCUUUUAAAAAGUUCAAAACCAGUAGCUGGAAUUUUGGAACAUCUUACAAGUUGAUGGAAAGAGAGGAACUAUUUGAACCCAAGAGAGUCAUGAAUGUUUUCCGAGACCGAAUAGAAAAGCAUAAAGAAGAAAUUGCAGAACUUGAAGAGAGAGAAAAAGUUUUGGAAAAAGAAAAGCCAAAUGUUAUUGCUUCCAACCAACCAAUAACUGCUGCAGAAGGUCAGGUAUUUUAUGAACAGUAUAACACCCCAUCUUGUAUCAUCAAACUGGGUGACUGUGUUUAUUUGAAGACUGAUAGUAGCACAAGGCCACUUAUUUGCCAAGUCGACUCAAUUUGGACUAACAAGAGUGGAGACGCAAUGUUUCAUGGACCAUGGAUCGUUUUGCCCAGCGACAUACCCCACGCCCCAUCUCGCCUGUUCUAUAAGCAAGAAGUGUUUAUCAGCACUCUGGAAGACACAAAUGCUGUGGCCAAUAUUAUUGGAAAGUGCGCUGUCUUGGAACAUGCAGAAUACAUCUCAUGCCGUCCAACUGAAAUACCUGAAUCAGAAGUGUACAUUUGUGAGUCUCUGUAUGAUGAAGUCAAGCGGCAAGUAAGAGAAUUACCAGAUCAAGGAAUGAAGAAGUACACUCAUUCUCCGCAAGUUUAUCAAGAUGAAAUUUACUUCUUCCGUCGUUUGAUCAAUCCUCCAAAGGUCGGUGCCGAAAACCCUCAACCAUCUCCGCAGACGGUUAUUCAGUCACCGCAAGAGAUGAAACAACCAAGGUUCCAGCCUAACUUCGAGUCUGUAAAUAAUUCACCAUCACCAUUAGUCCAACCAAAAUCAGAACCGGAUCUGAUGAUGGAAGAUUCAUUGGAUGGAGGUCCUCCAUCUGUUGGAUCAGUUGAUACACCGGCUCCUGUCACUCCUGGACCAACAUCGACUCCUAUCUCAACUAAAAAGGUCAUUUGCAAGUCUUUCCCUUUGAAAGCCCAAAAAUCAAAACUUGUUACCGGUUACAUUCUCUACUCCAGUGAUAUUCGGAGGACAGUCUCUCAAAAUAACCCAGACCGCUCUUUCGGUGAAGUCAGUCGAAUUGUUGGAAAUGAAUGGCGAAGUCUACCAAGCAAUGUUAAAAUGACAUGGGAGGAGAAAGCAGCAAGAAUGAAUGAAGUGACCGUUGCCCGUGCAGCUGCUGCUGGGCAGACUGUUGACAUUGUCGCUGGAAGCCCUGCAGCCAAUACCCCUGUUAAUCAUCUCGGACACCAUCCAGAUCUCAUUUGGGAAUGCCUAUGGGAUAAUUGUGAUCAUCAAUUCGAAGACAUGCAGGAUUGCAUAGAGCAUGCUGUUCAAGAAGGCAAUGGACACAUUGCAACAUUUUUCGCUGCUAUUCCACCUACAGAGCAAGAAUAUCAAUGUCAAUGGAGAGGCUGUCAGAGAUUAAAAAAAUCUGUCACGCCUUUCCCCAGCUUACAAAGGUUAGCACGGCAUGUGAAGGAAGUGCAUAUUCAGAAGAAUCCUGGGAAACUCGUUCCUGCAGCAGAUCGUAGCAAAAAUUACAUAACCAGCUCUCGUGCACUUCCUGCUCUGCUUCCUCCAACCCAAACUCCCCCCACUGCUCCAUCCACUCCCUCAACUCCCUCCUCCAUCGCUCAAGCGCUGAGUAACGCCGAUAGUGCAAACGGAAUUAUGUGGCUUCAAAACGGCCAAAAGUUCCUCCCGUGUCUGCAGCUCCAUCUAUUUCUCUGCAUGGAUCAUCCACAGCAUCCGGUGUACUCUCUCAACAUUCCCGGAACACUCCUUCUCCGCUCUCUCAAAAUGGUUCAGCAGUUGCAGUUAUGAAACCCCCAGAACCAAUGUUCAUCACCGUUCCUCCGCGACCACAGCGCCUUUUGCACUCAGAGGCAUAUAUCAAGUAUAUUGAAGGCCUCACAGCUGAAAAUCGCAAUGUAGGAACUUGGGAAAAACAACUGAGAAUGUGUCAGGAAACUGUACCGCCUGCAGAUGAAUCAAGAAUACCUGGUGCUUGGCUUCAAAACGGGGCAGGUAAUCACGGCAGCGUUCUGAGUGCGCUGUGGGCUUUGAGAGAUUUCAUGAAUAAAGAUGCUUUGAACAUCUCCAAAAUCCUUUACAAUUAGUUUAUGCUGUGUGUUGUAGAUAUUCUCCAUAAGUUCUUAAGAUCUUCAAUGUAUUUUAUUCUUUUUGUGACUCUAGAUGUCAUUUUAGCUUUUUUUACUUUUUAACUUUCUUACAAUCAAUUCUGUAUUUAUUAUUUGACUUAGCACCAUGUAUUUAAUAUAUAUUGUUGUGGUUUUGAAAAGAAAAAACUUUACGCUAUGUAUAAGACAAAGAGUAUUUAUCAAACUCUGUAAGUAUUUUCUAAAAAAUGGGAGAUAUUUUUGUUGUACAUAUUCAUCAAUGGGUCAGUGACUGUAGUACUGAAUCCUGUUUUGAUGAUGCCAGGUUUUAGAUUUGAUAGAUCAGCUGAGAUCAGCAAAUAGGUAGGAUUGCAGGUAGAUCAGCAAAUGCAAUAAUAAGAUCUGUUCAAAAACCAA